ACCUAAUAGAUACCCUGGUAGUCCACGCCCUAAACGAUGCGAACUGGAUGUUGGGUACAUUACGGUACUCAGUGUCGAAAGCUAAACGCGUUAAGUUCGCCGCCUGGGGAGUACGGUCGCAAGACUGAAACUCAAAGGAAUUGACGGGGGCCCGCACAAGCGGUGGAGUAUGUGGUUUAAUUCGAUGCAACGCGAAGAACCUUACCUGGCCUUGACAUCUGUCGAAUCCUGCAGAGAUGCGGGAGUGCCGCAAGGAACGACAAGACAGGUGCUGCAUGGCUGUCGUCAGCCUCGUGUCGUGAGAUGUUAGGGUUAACGUCCCGACAACGAGCGACCUAACCCUUCGUCCCUAGGUUCGCCAGCACAUCAUGGGUAGGGAA
rnacentral:rRNA from 1 species